rnacentral:rRNA from 1 species
GGUCAAGUGAAGAAGCGCAUACGGUGGAUGCCUUGGCAGUCAGAGGCGAUGAAAGACGUGGUAGCCUGCGAAAAGCUUCGGGGAGUCGGCAAACAGACUGUGAUCCGGAGGUAUCUGAAUGGGGGAACCCAGCCAUCAUAAGAUGGUUAUCUUGUACUGAAUACAUAGGUGCAAGAGGCGAACCAGGGGAACUGAAACAUCUAAGUACCCUGAGGAAAAGAAAUCAACCGAGAUUCCCUUAGUAGUGGCGAGCGAACGGGGACCAGCCCUUAAGUUGUAUUGAGAUUAGCGGAACGUUCUGGAAAGGACGGCCAUAGUGGGUGAUAGCCCUGUACGCGAAAAUCCCUUUGCAAUGAAAUCGAGUAGGACGGGGCACGAGAAACCUUGUCUGAAUAUGGGGGGACCAUCCUCCAAGGCUAAAUACUACUGACUGACCGAUAGUGAACCAGUACCGUGAGGGAAAGGCGAAAAGAACCGCGGAGAGCGGAGUGAAAUAGAUCCUGAAACCGUAUGCGUACAAGCAGUGGGAGCCCACUUUGUUGGGUGACUGCGUACCUUUUGUAUAAUGGGUCAGCGACUUAUUUUCAGUGGCGAGCUUAACCGAAUAGGGGAGGCGUAGCGAAAGCGAGUCUUAAUAGGGCGUCUAGUCGCUGGGAAUAGACCCGAAACCGGGCGAUCUAUCCAUGGGCAGGUUGAAGGUUGGGUAACACUAACUGGAGGACCGAACCGACUACCGUUGAAAAGUUAGCGGAUGACCUGUGGAUCGGAGUGAAAGGCUAAUCAAGCUCGGAGAUAGCUGGUUCUCCUCGAAAGCUAUUUAGGUAGCGCCUCAUGUAUCACUGUAGGGGGUAGAGCACUGUUUCGGCUAGGGGGUCAUCCCGACUUACCAAACCGAUGCAAACUCCGAAUACCUACAAGUGCCGAGCAUGGGAGACACACGGCGGGUGCUAACGUCCGUCGUGAAAAGGGAAACAACCCAGACCGUCAGCUAAGGUCCCAAAGUCAUGGUUAAGUGGGAAACGAUGUGGGAAGGCUUAGACAGCUAGGAGGUUGGCUUAGAAGCAGCCACCCUUUAAAGAAAGCGUAAUAGCUCACUAGUCGAGUCGGCCUGCGCGGAAGAUGUAACGGGGCUCAAACCAUGCACCGAAGCUACGGGUAUCAUCUUUUGAUGAUGCGGUAGAGGAGCGUUCUGUAAGCCUGUGAAGGUGAGUUGAGAAGCUUGCUGGAGGUAUCAGAAGUGCGAAUGCUGACAUGAGUAACGACAAUGGGUGUGAAAAACACCCACGCCGAAAGACCAAGGUUUCCUGCGCAACGUUAAUCGACGCAGGGUUAGUCGGUCCCUAAGGCGAGGCUGAAAAGCGUAGUCGAUGGAAAACAGGUUAAUAUUCCUGUACUUCUGGUUAUUGCGAUGGAGGGACGGAGAAGGCUAGGCCAGCCUGGCGUUGGUUGUCCAGGUUUAAGGUGGUAGGCUGAGAUCUUAGGUAAAUCCGGGAUCUUAAGGCCGAGAGCUGAUGACGAGUGUUCUUUAGAACACGAAGUGGUUGAUGCCAUGCUUCCAAGAAAAGCUUCUAAGCUUCAGGUAACCAGGAACCGUACCCCAAACCGACACAGGUGGUUGGGUAGAGAAUACCAAGGCGCUUGAGAGAACUCGGGUGAAGGAACUAGGCAAAAUGGCACCGUAACUUCGGGAGAAGGUGCGCCGGUGAGGGUGAAGCAUUUACUGCGUAAGCUCAUGCCGGUCGAAGAUACCAGGCCGCUGCGACUGUUUAUUAAAAACACAGCACUCUGCAAACACGAAAGUGGACGUAUAGGGUGUGACGCCUGCCCGGUGCCGGAAGGUUAAUUGAUGGGGUUAGCGCAAGCGAAGCUCUUGAUCGAAGCCCCGGUAAACGGCGGCCGUAACUAUAACGGUCCUAAGGUAGCGAAAUUCCUUGUCGGGUAAGUUCCGACCUGCACGAAUGGCGUAACGAUGGCGGCGCUGUCUCCACCCGAGACUCAGUGAAAUUGAAAUCGCUGUGAAGAUGCAGUGUAUCCGCGGCUAGACGGAAAGACCCCGUGAACCUUUACUAUAGCUUUGCACUGGACUUUGAAUUUGCUUGUGUAGGAUAGGUGGGAGGCUUUGAAGCGUGGACGCCAGUCUGCGUGGAGCCAACCUUGAAAUACCACCCUGGCAACUUUGAGGUUCUAACUCAGGUCCGUUAUCCGGAUCGAGGACAGUGUAUGGUGGGUAGUUUGACUGGGGCGGUCUCCUCCUAAAGAGUAACGGAGGAGUACGAAGGUGCGCUCAGACCGGUCGGAAAUCGGUCGUAGAGUAUAAAGGCAAAAGCGCGCUUGACUGCGAGACAGACACGUCGAGCAGGUACGAAAGUAGGUCUUAGUGAUCCGGUGGUUCUGUAUGGAAGGGCCAUCGCUCAACGGAUAAAAGGUACUCCGGGGAUAACAGGCUGAUACCGCCCAAGAGUUCAUAUCGACGGCGGUGUUUGGCACCUCGAUGUCGGCUCAUCACAUCCUGGGGCUGAAGCCGGUCCCAAGGGUAUGGCUGUUCGCCAUUUAAAGUGGUACGCGAGCUGGGUUUAGAACGUCGUGAGACAGUUCGGUCCCUAUCUGCCGUGGACGUUUGAGAUUUGAGAGGGGCUGCUCCUAGUACGAGAGGACCGGAGUGGACGAACCUCUGGUGUUCCGGUUGUCACGCCAGUGGCAUUGCCGGGUAGCUAUGUUCGGAAAAGAUAACCGCUGAAAGCAUCUAAGCGGGAAACUUGCCUCAAGAUGAGAUCUCACUGGAACCUUGAGUUCCCUAAAGGGCCGUCGAAGACUACGACGUUGAUAGGUUGGGUGUGUAAGCGCUGUGAGGCGUUGAGCUAACCAAUACUAAUUGCCCGUGAGGCUUGACCAUAUAACACCCA